rnacentral:lncRNA from 1 species
GGUAUUGUUGUGGCUUUGUGUGCCUGAUGUUGCAGAGCCAUUCUUUGAGGUGUUCAGUGAAUCCACCACAUCGUCUUGCUGACAUUCUCGUCUGUUAUCCAAAGUUAUGACCUGAAGUUCGUGGGUGUCUAUAAUCUCUUGAGGUAUGCUCUGACAAUACCAAAAGCAAAGUCAUAUGAUUAUUACUGAAGCUGAUGAUGACACUAACCUCAAGAAGCCAUCCAAUAUAGGUGACAUUAUUGACAUGAUGGUUCAUGCCGAGAGCAGCUCGUCUUGGCUGCAAAGAAACAUGAUUAUAAAGUCCUUUAGGAAUGUUGAUUCUUACUAAGAAUCUUAUUGUUCUAUUUUAUACCUUAAGUCCAAUGAUUGAGUACUUGGCCAGAUCUUCGAGUUUGGGGAUAUUCUUCAAGCUUCUGCUAAUUUCCUCCUCAGGAUAUGCUAAUCUACAAAGAUAUACAAUAAACAGAAUAGUUGGCAAUUCAUGAAUAUAACGAUAUGAUUGACCAGCAAACAUUGCAUUGACACAAAGUUCUUUUACCUGGGUUCUUUAGGACAAAACAUACUAAUUCAAACCUUAGGGUUUAGAGUUGAGGGGUGAGAAUUUGAGAUUGAAAUUUAAAAUUUUAUAAAAUAAAAAAUAAAUAUUAAAAAUUUGAAAAUAAAAAUUUUAAAAAUAGUUUCUAAAAGUAUUUUUGAAUUACAAAAAGAAAAUUUGAAAAAAAAAUUUGGAAAAAAAUUAUAAAAAAAAACAAAAUUUAGAAAACAGUUCGAAUUUGAAAACAUAUAAUCUAAAAAUAUAAAAUUAAUUUUUUUUAGUUUUUUUAAUUUUUUUAUUUUUUAUAUAUCUAGGGUAUUAGAAUCUUUUUACCUAUUAAAUAAAACAUUUUGAUCAUUUUCCUCCUUGUGGUUUAUUUUUGUGAUCAAAACUUGAAAGUGGUCUUUUUCCUCCUAGGGUUCGUCAACCCAAGCGCGGGGUUCGUAAAUGUUAUAUAUCCCAAUAUACUAAUUUCCAAGAUUUCUGAUAGAACUGCUCUCCUUUCUAUACCCCAAAGAUUAUAACUUGGAAAACCACGUUGCUUAGUGAGCAAAGUACGAAUUAACUUUGGACCAUAUGUUUUCCAAAACUUAUAUGAUCGUGCUUGGGAGAACAUAUAUUGUGCGUUUGGUAAUGCAUUUAGAAAGUAGCUCAAGAGAGUAGAGUUGAUUACUUUCAUGACCUGUUCGAGUCUUCAUGGAUCAUAUUAGAUGCUUCUGGGGUAAAGUCUUUCAUGAUUAGAUUAACUGAGAAGUUUUGACAUAUGACACUCAAAGUAUUUUACUCUGUUUUUCUUUUAUCAAUUCUAUAUUUUUUAUUUAUUUAUCUAACAUUGUUUAAAAUUUAUGAGACUUUCUAAUAGGUAGAAUCUAUUAUCAGUCAUAUAAAAUAUCUAUGUAUUAGGAAAAAAUAUUUUAGCAAAAAAAACAACAUGAUUAUGUAUUUAUAUUUCUCGGUGUGCAGGAAGCUUAAUAUUUAGCAAAUACAUCAAACUACAAAACAAAUGUACGUGGAGUGAACGUCUUUUACAUUUCCUCGAGUUAUUCAAUGACACAACGUACACCUCCCUUCUAAAGCCCCCACCUACAACCCUCUGCACAUGCAAAGAUCUGCAGCUCACCACUUCAUAGUUCUUUCAACCUACAACCUUAGGAGAUGUAAGAACUGGGUAUUGUUGUGGCUUUGUGUGCCUGAUGUUGCAGAGCCAUUCUUUGAGGUGUUCAGUGAAUCCACCACAUCGUCUUGCUGACAUUCUCGUCUGUUAUCCAAAGUUAUGACCUGAAGUUCGUGGGUGUCUAUAAUCUCUUGAGGUAUGCUCUGACAAUACCAAAAGCAAAGUCAUAUGAUUAUUACUGAAGCUGAUGAUGACACUAACCUCAAGAAGCCAUCCAAUAUAGGUGACAUUAUUGACAUGAUGGUUCAUGCCGAGAGCAGCUCGUCUUG